rnacentral:rRNA from 1 species
AUUGAACGCUGGCGGAAUGCUUUACACAUGCAAGUCGAACGGCAGCACGGGGGCAACCCUGGUGGCGAGUGGCGAACGGGUGAGUAAUACAUCGGAACGUGCCCAGUCGUGGGGGAUAACGUAGCGAAAGUUACGCUAGUACCGCAUACGAUCUACGGAUGAAAGCGGGGGACCGUAAGGCCUCGCGCGAUUGGAGCGGCCGAUGUCAGCUUAGGUAGUUGGUGAGGUAAAGGCUCACCAAGCCGACGAUCUGUAGCUGGUCUGAGAGGACGACCAGCCACCCUGGGACUGAGACACGGCCGAGACUCCUCCGGGAGGCAGCAGUGGGGAAUUUUGGACAAUGGGCGCAAGCCUGAUCCAACCAUUCCGCGUGCAGGACGAAGGCCUUCGGGUUGUAAACUGCUUUUGUACGGAACGAAAAGGCUCUGGUUAAUACCUGGGGCUCAUGACGGUACCGUAAGAAUAAGCACCGGCUAACUACGUGCCAGCCGCCGCAGUAA